GAACUGUUUGUGAUCACAAUAAAAAAGUCUCCGCUUUCGUAAACAUGAGAGAUUAACAUGGCACAGACGUUGACGGUGGAUCCAGUACAAGCGACUUUUCCACUGUUGUUUUCACGGGGCCACUGCAGCACGUUAGCUAGCAGAGCAACAGAUACAGUAGAAAAAGGAAGAAGACCUGACAGCAGGUUGGAUGGAAACACAAGCUGGAGACGUGUUUAAGGGUGCGGGAGUGAAGCUGUCCACCCAGUGUUAAGAUAGUGGAGGAGGAGCCAGUGACCAGGGUGCACUGGGUGAAGUGAACAACCUACAGUAAAAGUCAGUGCUGAAGAUGAUUGCAACAUGUCAGCCUCAUGAGGCAAGGCAUGGGGUCCCUUUUGACUGGCAAGCUGGAGAAAAGGCCCUCGGACAGCAGGAGCGUGAGAUCAGGUGGAGGCAGCUGUUGACUCAGGCAGCUUGCUCUUGGAAAAUAUGCGCCUGAGAGUCCAACCUGCGAAGCUCCGAAUCACUGAGGAGUCCAUCUACAGGGGAACGAUGCCACCGGGUCGAUUUGCUGUGAACCCAAGGAGGAGGACGACAUUCCCGCUGGGUCCAAGCAGCGUAAUGGGUUUUGCUCAUGAUGUACAGCAGAUAAAGCUGGGCUGCAGCCACUAAGAGCUGAUUCAGGCAACACUGGGCUACAAAACAGCUCUAAAUAGCAGCCAACUGUAGCUCUCCAGUACAGUGUCCACCAUCGUUGGUCUGUUCUUCACAUCACAGUAGAAUCGUGUAUGAACAUGUCUGCUAAAUGAACCAAGGCUUUAGUUCUUAGAACCUUGUUUUCUCUACAUGAUCGUAGUUCAAGUGGAGUCCAGACCUCUUCAGAUAAGAAUGUAUUAUUUGCUCAAGUCACUUUAGAAGCACUUAGAUGUGUCUUCACUUGAAUGUUCACUGCGCAGAGCCAAUAAGGCGGCGCUCACACACAAAGGCUUCCUUCCCUUUCCCCCGGUGAGUUCAGGGGCAGGAAGGAGGGAGGAGUUAGCGUUGAAGCCACCGAUUGCUUCCCCAUUGUUUUCAUUGUCUGUUCUGCUGGUGACUGUUAAUUACCGUGGUUCGGUUCCGACUUCGCCACUCCUCUGCACGUCUCACGGCUCUAGAGUAUUUGCACCUUCUUGCCCGCUUUGCCUUGACUCCCCUUUACUCUUCUGUUCCACUGGCUGCUGGUUCCAUCCCAUGUGUCCCAUGAACAUGAAACCUCUCAGUGACCGUUAAGCAGAGUCGCGUCAUUUAUACAGAUAUUGCUGUUAAUUAGUCAACGUGUCAGAGAAUAUGUGGAGGUUUGUUCGGCCCAUUAAAUUGAUGCUUCUG